rnacentral:rRNA from 1 species
AGGCAGGGUGUUCUAUAAUGCAGUCGUACGCACUGGCCCAACUGAUUGAUGGUGCUUGCACCUGAUUGACGAUGGAUCACCAGUGAGUGGCGGACGGGUGAGUAACACGUAGGUAACCUGCCCCGGAGCGGGGGAUAACAUUUGGAAACAGAUGCUAAUACCGCAUAACAACAAAAGCCACAUGGCUUUUGCUUGAAAGAUGGCUUUGGCUAUCACUCUGGGAUGGACCUGCGGUGCAUUAGCUAGUUGGUAAGGUAACGGCUUACCAAGGCGAUGAUGCAUAGCCGAGUUGAGAGACUGAUCGGCCACAAUGGAACUGAGACACGGUCCAUACUCCUACGGGAGGCAGCAGUAGGGAAUCUUCCACAAUGGGCGCAAGCCUGAUGGAGCAACACCGCGUGAGUGAAGAAGGGUUUCGGCUCGUAAAGCUCUGUUGUUGGAGAAGAACGUGCGUGAGAGUAACUGUUCACGCAGUGACGGUAUCCAACCAGAAAGUCACGGCUAACUACGUGCCAGCAGCCGCGGUAAUACGUAGGUGGCAAGCGUUAUCCGGAUUUAUUGGGCGUAAAGCGAGCGCAGGCGGUUGCUUAGGUCUGAUGUGAAAGCCUUCGGCUUAACCGAAGAAGUGCAUCGGAAACCGGGCGACUUGAGUGCAGAAGAGGACAGUGGAACUCCAUGUGUAGCGGUGGAAUGCGUAGAUAUAUGGAAGAACACCAGUGGCGAAGGCGGCUGUCUGGUCUGCAACUGACGCUGAGGCUCGAAAGCAUGGGUAGCGAACAGGAUUAGAUACCCUGGUAGUCCAUGCCGUAAACGAUGAGUGCUAGGUGUUGGAGGGUUUCCGCCCUUCAGUGCCGGAGCUAACGCAUUAAGCACUCCGGCCUGGGGAGUACGACCGCAAGGUUGAACUCAAGGAAUUUGACGGGGGGCCGCACAAGCGGUGGAGCAUGUGGUUUAAUUCGAAGCUACGCGAGACCUUACCAGGUCUUGACAUCUUGCGCUACGUAGAGAUAGGCGUUCGCGUCGGGGACGCAUGACAGGUGUGCAUGCUCGUCGUCAGCUCGUGUCGUGAGAUGUGGGUAGGUUCCUGCACGAGCGCGCCGUUGUUACUAGUGGCUAGCAUAGUGGGUACUCUGUGAACUGCCGUGACUACGGAGAAGGUGGGGACGACGU